GUAACGAGGUGCCGGAGGCGGAGGGGAUGGGUAGGGUGCAGGCGUUGAUCGGAAUUGAGGGGCGUAGAGGGGGCGCAGGCGGUUGGGUAGUUCUGAUGUGAAAUCCCCGAGCUCAACUUGGGAACUGCAGUGGAGACUGUUCAGCUAGAGUACGUCAGAGGGGGGUGGAAUUCCACGUGUAGCAGUGAAAUGCGUAGAGAUGUGGAUGAACACCGAUGGCGAAGGCAGCCCCCUGGGAUGAUACUGACGCUCAUGCACGAAAGCGUGGGGAGCAAACAGGAUUAGAUACCCCAGUUAGUC
rnacentral:rRNA from 1 species